GUGACAAUUAUAAAUAGUAACAUAGUGCCAAUUAGGACACCUUUGUAUUUAACAUUGGCAUUACCUCAGCCAGCUGCUAUUAUGCAUAACAGAUAGGUCUUGGUGCUAUUGAGACCUUUCUAUUCUGCGUGGUUUUGAGUGUGAGGUUAUAGGAGCAGCGCAGUUUGUAUGAAAGGACAGAGGCUAUAUCCCCAGAGUAAUUUUAAAUUCUAAUUUAUUUUACUAUUUUUUUCACCUCCUUUAACUAAAGUUAGCCACUUUUGCCCAGUGCAGUAUGAAUAAUUUGUUUAAACCUACCACCAUUUCCUUUUUAAAUGGUAACAUUUAUAAACGUGCAACCAUUGUGCAACCUUGGCUGUGUCAAGGAUUGUACAAGAUUUCGAAAAUUUAAACACAGUUCUUACACUACCACAGCAGCAUGGAAGUAUCAGCAUUUACCCUACCCAUGCAAAUAAUGUGAGAAGUCAGAGCCCACACAGAAGGAAUCCACACUUUUGGGUCUUCCUCAUGUCCUUCAUAAUUGUUGUAUGAUGCACUGAAGGGUUUGAAUGGGUCACUUCAUUUGACAGGUUUUUACUAUCCUUCUGUUCCAUUUCCCACAUUAGUUUGCAGUUCAUUUUAAUGAAGUUCCCUUCAAAAUGUACGUCAAUCCCUCUAUCAAUACAUAUUAAAAUAUGUUUUUUCUCUCUUUUAUACAUACAUAUAUAUAUAUAUAUAUAUAUAUACACACACGAGAGAGAGAGAGAGAGAGAUGCAUAUUCUUAUGCAUUUAAAUUGCUAAGAAAUGUGUCACAAUAUUCAAAGACAUGCAAAAAUUGGUGGGUAGUAAAUUUCAAUCAGAACAUCCAUCAGGUGCAGAUCAGGUUAUUUUCAUACAAGAAUUUUCAAUGGUCUUGUAAUUCAAGCGUAUUAAUACCCAUUCCAGGACAAUUCCCAUAUCUUACAAGGGUUAAGAGCCAAUUCACACACUUCAUGAUUUAUAGCUGAGUAUGAUCUUGACUUCCAAUGGAAGACAUUGUGUUUGAGGUGGUAGAGGCUAAUAUCACAAUUUGUCCUGUGGUGUUAUCUGUGAUGACUCACUGAUGCCAUGCCAGUUGUCACUUGAGGUUGCAAUAAUCUGCUGAUGAACCAUAUCUAUCUAUCUAUCUAUCUAUCUAUCUAUAUCUAUCUAUCUAUCAUCUAUUUAUUUAUCUAUCUAUCAUCUCCUUUGAGAUAAUAGAACAACUAUAGCACAGCAAUAAGCAAUAAAAUAGGCAUGGUUUUGUGACACAGACCUGUCUAUUUCAGUCUGUAUAGCUCAGGAUUAGCCAUUAUGGUGCCCGCACAUCCCAUCAGCUCCAGUCAGCAUGGUCCAAAAUAUGUGGAGGACCCCAAGUAGCUUAGCCGUCUCCAAGGUAUUUAUAUUGUGCAAGUUUAAGCAUUCCUAGUUGUCUUGGACAACUGUGGUUAGGAUUUAACCAUCCCCUGCCAGCUUAGUCAAGAGUCAGGGAUGAUGGGAAAUGUAAGCCAAUAUCUAGAAACUCAAGGUUGAAGGACACUGCUGUAGGCAAUACUGAGCUAACUUAGCUAACGGUCUGGCUCAGUUUAAGGCUACUUCCUAUGUUUAUCGUUUUCUUCACAUAAUCACCUCUUCUUAACAUAAUCACCCUAUGUUUUAUGGACUUGCUUUCUUUGUGGCAUGCAUUCCUCAGCGGCUGAUAAAUAAAUAAAAGAUGCUUUCCUGAAACAGAAUAAAUAACAGACAAUAGCACCAAAGGGGUUUGCCAAGGACAUACAUCAUUCAGAGGUGUCUUAUACAUUUGGAGAUAAUACACAGAAAUAAAUAUAUUUAAAUUCUUUGUAGAUGAAUAAUCAAAGUCAAGACAAACGCAACGUGAUUUAUUAACAAUGUGAAAGAAUUACGUUCGAUUCCUUCUACAUCACAGGAACAUUAUGAGCUAUAAUUAACUAAUGUAUCUAAAGUGCUUUGCUUCUGUAAACCACUAUGAAUAUAAGCUCAAAGUAAUCCCGUUCUGUAGAAAACUUGACAGAUGCAGUUAAUAAAGGUAACCAAGCAUGGUAAACAUCGGAACAUAUGGGCAGAAGUGUAGCUAGGAUUUGUUUUGUAUUAAAUACCAAAAAAACACAUCAAGUCUAUGGUUCUGUUGUCUUGUUUGUUUAAAGCAGGACUGGGAAACUGGUGACCUCUAGAUCUUGUUGGACUCCAGCUCCCAUUAGUCCAAACCAGCUGAGAAGGAUGGGAAUUGUGGUCCAACACCAUCUGAAGAGCCUUUCCCUGGUUCCUCUUUCCCUGGUUUAACAUGAAGAGCAAUAGGAGUUAGGCUUUUUACAAAUAAGGAUGAUUAAUGCAAAUGCAUUUCUGCAUUAAAGGAAACAUUACUGUAUAGUAAAUUAAUUAAGCAUUUUAGAAUUCAGACAUAUGAUCAGAUUGCUUUGGUUUGUGUUGCAACAAUGUCUGUUAAGAUACAACCAGAUUAAUAUUAUCAUUUGCAUAUAGAACACCAAGACUGUUUUUAAAUGCAUAUCCACAUGAUGUAUAUCACACAUUAUAGCUCAGUCAGUAGAGCACGAGACUCUUAAUCUCAGGGUUGUGGGUUUGAGUCCCACAUUGGGCAAACGAUUCCUUCAUCGCAGGGGGUUGGAUUAGAUGACCCUCACGAUACCUUCCAAGUCUGCAGUUCUAUUAGUCUAAGGUAUAGUGUACAUUAGUCUAGUUCUGCUAAUGCAAAAUGCAGCCAGUGAAAUCUUUGCUUAUGGGAAAAGUGGCUUUUACAUCAUGUGAAAACUCAACUAUAACAUGGAAAUUAACAGCUAGGGAAAUAUUCGGGAAAUGGUACAAACUAAUAUGUGAAUGCUGCCUCAGAUGGGCACCAUCUCUCUUGUCUUUUGGUGCUUAUGAAAGACCUACCUUUUCCAGCUAGCCUUUGAAGUGGAAAUCUUUAUUCCAUUCUGUAACUGUCUUGAAUUUGCAGUUGGUUUUACAUAUGGAAAUGUUUUAAUUGUUGAUGUUUUGUGGUGAAAUCUCUUCAAGAUACUUUAUGCAAAGCAAUUCACAGACGAAAUCAAAUAAAUAAAUAAAACAAUAUUAACAAAACCUGUAGGGCUGCUGUUCUCCUGAUGCUUUCUUACCUGAUAAUUUCUGGAUUUUAUGUGCUCUUUCCACUUCUGGAAAUCCAGUGCAAAUUUAGUGCUCAUUUCCAUGUUAAUUGUGUCCUGGGGUGUGUGUGUCAGUUUCCAAUCCCAUUAACUCAGAAAAUUGCAGGAGUUUUACAAUGCAAUUCCAUGUGGCAAAAUUUGGGGUAGUAUCCCAGGAUGGAACUAGAGACAUCAAAGAAGCGUUUCAGUUAAACGCGUUAUAAACUUUGUAUGAGAAAUUGGGUUGGCAAAAAAGCAACUCCACAGUGCCGUCUGGUGUCACAGUGUUAGAAUGCAUAAACAACACAUAUAAAGUGCUUUUUCUUUGCCAAUGUAGCUGAGUCCCCAGUCAUAGAAGCCAACUCCGAGGGGCCAAGGUCCCUUAGGCCUCCCCAAUAAAAUAUAUGAGGGGUCUGCCCCCCCAAGUUGAUAACCAUUGCCAUUCAGAUGAUGUGCAGGCAUGUGUCCUGUAAUAGAUUAUGUGGGGUGGGGCUUACCUGCUCCCCACAAUAUUUUAUUCAAGUUGGCACCCCUGAUCCCAGUUUACAGUUCUUUCCUGCCAUUUAAAAUUUAUCAAUCAGAAAGCCACAGGUCCACAAUGCCACAGGUACUGCAGUGUAAAAGGACAUUAGAAAUCAGAACCACUAGCAUUCUAACAAGCAAAACUAAAGCAAUAAAUCCUGUCUUUGAAUAUAGCCUCUGUGAUCAUUCCAGCAUAUUACAAAGAUUCUGCUCCAAAUGCUCUGUGGUAAAUAUCCCACCUUACAUGAGAUAUUUAAUUCAUGUCAAUAGACUGCCCACCAUUACACUGGGCUUCAAAAUGUGUUGAAAAUGUUUUCCAGCCUUUCUGCUAUAUUUUUGUUCUAUACACAGCCAUAAACAGCUAAGAGUCAGAAUGACUUUGUGGGUGGUUUCUUGUUUUUUGUUUUUUUGAAAGCUGAGGUGAUGAAUAACAAGCGCUAACAAGAUACGUUUGAAUGGAUGGUGUGACGCUGGCUCUGUUCUUUUAUCUACACGCCACAGACAAGUCUGCCAUCCAUAAAUAAGCUCUUUGUUUGAUAAAGUCUCCUUGAAGGUAAGGAGAGGCAUGUGGUUCACUCGACCGCAUAUUGCUUGUUCUAAUUGAAAGCAAGUCUUUGCAAAUGAGAUUCUCUGCGCAUCAGCAUUUUGCCUGCAUCAGUCCCCGAUUCGGAGUGCAUAUUGACACCAAUGAAUCUCACGCAGAUACAAAUCUUCCAUUCCAGCGCUGGAGCCAUUUUAAUGUAUUUGUUUUGUUGUAAGGAAAUAUUUUUAAUAUGCCAUAUGAAUUAUGGUGGCUUCAUGGCUUUGCCACCUUGGGAAGUGUGGGAGUUGCUGGAUAACUUUAGUUCCCAACGGCACAGUAGCCCAGAAAGGGCAGAUCACAUUGAUUUGGAUAAGAAUUUACAAGGAUGAAAUUCCUUAGUUAUCCCUUAGUCAUUUUGGUUUUUAAAAAAUAGGUUUGACUUAAUUUUAAAGCACACUGUGGGGGAUCCUUCAGGAUGAAGCAGCUAGAAAUAAAUGAUGUAAAAAUGAUACAAUUGACAUGUUUAUAUAGAGAUAGAGAUAAUAGACCCACCCUAUUCUUUUUAUUCUAAAUUGUUAUAAUUUACGUUUUGAUUCUGAAUUGUUAUAAUACACCAUGUUUUUCUGUGUACAAGACGCCCCCAUGUAUAAGAUGACCCCUAUUUUUUAAAAAACAAAAUUAAGAAAUUAAGUUGUUUAGCUUUUUUGGGGGGUGGGGGAGAUCACUUCCACCAAUCGCUCACCUGCCUGCCGACCACUGCCGAUCGCUUGCCACAGCAACCGCCAAUUGCACACCUCGCCACAGCCGCCAAUUGUCUGCCCACUUGCUACCACCAACAGCCCACCCACCCACUUGCUGCAGCUUCCAAUCGCCUGCCUGCCUCGCCACAGCUGCCAAUCACCUGCCCAAUUGCCGCAGCCACAGCCAAUCACCAGCAAGCCUUGCCGCAGCCACCAGUCACCCACCCAAUAGCCGCUGCCAAUUUCCUGCUUGCUGCUGCCAUUAAUUGCAGCAUUAAUUCACUAUCAGUGUAUAAGACGACACCCAAUUUUUGCCUAAUAUAUAUUUUUUUUAGCAAAAAGCAUCGUCUUACACACGGAAAAAUAUGGUAUGUUGUGAACUGCCCUGAGAACUGGGGAGGAAGGCAGGGUUACAAAUUUAAUAAAUAAUAAAAUAAACAAUAAAAAAUUAUUUUACACUAUUGUCACCCUGGUGAAGGAGGGGUAAACAACAACAAUAACACACCCCUCAUUUCUAUUCUGAAAAUAACACUAGAUGCUUGAGAACUCUAAAACAUAGAAAGCAAUUUACAACCCUUCAGCGAAUGGUCCACUGGCAGGAACCCUGUGGAAAAUCUUUAUCUGAGCAGGGAAUACCAGAGGUACGUUGGUGUUUCUGCCUAUGGUAAUCACACUACUUGGAAGCUUUCUCUGCCUACACCCUACUCAUCAUAAUGAUGGUCAGUGUGCUAGUAAGAAGUUUUCCACUUUCACUUAUCAGAUCUCAGUUCUUAAAAGUAAAAGAAAGCAAACUGAUAGGCAUUUUCUGAGUGUCUCUAGCAGAACCCACUCUUUCUUUCUAGAGAAAAUUUUAUUGUAGUACUGAGCUUUAUGCCUUGAAAAUGUCCAGCACAGAGGCAGAUAAACUGAUAUUAAACUUGAGCAGACAUAAAUCAAGGUAUUGUUGCCAAUGAUGACAUAUUUGGAAAUGAGACCUUGGCUCAGUUAAUAUAUAAAUUGCAAACCAUAAAGUGGAAAGGCUGGUUAGAAAGGAAUCCUUCAAGAGAAGAGAGUAAUACUAAUACACCAAUACACUAAUACACUAAUACUGAUACACCAAACAUAUUAGCUAACAUACAGGCACUCUAAACUGCAGUGGUUUCAGCCUUAAAGCGGCUUCUUCACACCAGUUAUAAAAUUCUACAGUGUAAUCCAUUAAGAUCAAUUAGACUGAGGAAUGGGAAGCUGAAACUAACCAAUAACCACAGCAGACAAAAUUAUUGCAUCACUGAAAACCUUGAC
rnacentral:lncRNA from 1 species